UUCAGGCUCCUGGGACACCUCGGGAGGGUGGCAGGGACAGGGGAGGGACACGAGCAGAUCCUCCUCCCUGAGCACAGGGUUUUGCAGAGGGUUUUGCAACAGCCCCAGAAGUGCCCGGGGAGCAGCAACUGCCGGGGAAGGCUCUGCAGGAAUCCAGGCCAGGACUAAAGCCGGGUUUAACCCAGCCCAUCCAGGCCAGGAUUAAAGCUGGGUUUAACGCCUGGCACCUCCAGCAGAGGAUGCAGCGCUGACUCUGAGAGGCACCGGAGCCCCAGGAGAACAACUUGUCUCCAAUUCUGGAACUCAGUUUCUAACGGAGCUGCACAAUGACAACAUUCACUUGCUGCCAGCAACUGCUCUGAGCUGUCCUUCUUCAGCACGAGCCUUCUGCUCACAGAUCCUCUACACUCAACUUGGUAAUUUUUGAAGUUUUAUUGGCCAGGUUUUCACUGAACAACCCAAAAGCUGUAAAAAGUGCAGCUCAGGGGCUGUGCAGAGAUAACCCCUCGCUCCAGGAGCCAACACUGAGCAUUUCAAACUCCUGCUUUUGUGCCACAAAGAGCUGAAGGAGGUGGGGCUCAGCUCCUUCCUUGACAGACUGCCCUGGAUUUGGGAUUUAGGGCUGUUGGCACAGAAAUAAAAAGAUAAAGGCACCAGCAUGCCCUUCAUCUUUAGCAGCAGCACAGGAAAGCAGGCAGGAAGUUGUGCUCACUCCCCAAAAUAUCCCAAUUUAUAAAUUCAGCCCACAAGACAAAAAUAGCUUCAGCAGCAGGUAUUGUUUAAUUCAGGAGUGCUCUGAAAUAAAGCAGUGACCCCACAGAAUCCUUACUGUCAAGGAGAAAAACCCCAGACUGAGCUGCCAAAACCCAAAGACUGAAACAUUUUGUGUAAAAUGUGCCCAAAAAGCAGCCUGGGGUUUGCUGCUCUGAUCAAAGCAGUACUCAGGGCUCAGCAAAUGUUCCAAGGCUCUCCCUGCAUUCACUGGAGGGUUUUCUUCACACACUGAACAUUUCCAUGGUUUUAGGGAACAGACAGGCACCAAAUGAGCAGGAAGGUGUUUCACACAGGCACAAAGGGCUAUCCCACCUCUCCAUCCCCAGGGAAAUGAGGUGCCUUCAGAGCUCUGGGCAAUUCUGAACCAGGAGAAGUCACCAGCCAGGCCUUCCUUUGUCUCCUUGGCCCAACCUGAUCAAUAAAUGUUAUUCAAAUCCAGGGCAGCAGUGCCCUGUGUGCAGCACUCAGUCCCUCCAAUGCCCCAAAAAUCAGCAAAAUCCUCUGAAGGAGGUGAGGUGGGCUGAGUGAGAAGUCUUUGUGUCAGUGCUGCUGUGGGUAAUUAGCACCAAGUCUUUAAUUACUGAAUCCCAGACUGGUUUGGGUUGGAAGCACCUUAAAGCUCAUCCAGUUCUACCCCUCCCACUGCCCCAGGGUGGCACUCCCUAAGGACACUGUGGUGGCUGUCACAGAGCUGCUCUGUGUGUCCCCUUCCAGCUGUCCCUGUCUGCCCUGGCAGGAGCUCUGAGUGUGCAGGGAAAGGAGGGGAGCAGGGAUGAUCAGAGGCAGGUGCUUUGUGUCCUGGAUUGCCAAGCAAAUUUUAUUCUAUUUGCCAUCUUGGCAUUUGUGUUCUGUUCAGUGGGCAGUUUUCCUUUUUGUUGGAACUCAGGAAAUUCCUCUGGCUGCCCUGGAGAACUUGAACCCCUGCUCAGGGGGCUCAGAGACCUUGGCACAGAGCCCCAGACCCCUGUGCCUUUGAUUUUAGCCCUUGGAAAAAAACAAUUACCAACCUUGUAUGAAGAAUGACAAGCCACGAAAGUUUAAGAGAAUGAUAGUGAAUUUAUCAUGGGGUGAAAAAUAGGUUUUUGAGGUUUUUAGAAUGGGGUUCAGGGGGCAAGAUGGAGGAAUGUAGGCAUGUCCAGCCUUUCUCCUUCUUCUUCUUGGCCUCCAUCUUCUGCUGUGAUGGUGGCACUCACAGAUUGGUUUAGAGUAGAAGCUCACUGUCUAACACAGGUGAUGGGUAUUGGAAAGUAUCUGUAAACAUUGUACAUGUAGUUUUUAGUAUAAAGCCAUAACACUGCCCUGGGGCAGGCAGAGUGCCUGGAACUGUCCUGCUGGACAGACCUCAGCAGGGCAGGAGAAAGAAUUUUAUAGAUAAGAUACAAUAAACAACCUUGACACAUCGAAAUUAAGAUCCCUGACUCCUUCUUUGAGUGCCAGGCUGGGAAAAGAGACUUUCGAACUCUUCUCAGGGUCACUGUGAGCAGCAGAGACCCCAAGACCUUAUCUCUUCCACACCCCCUCCUCCCUCAGGGGAGACACCUGCUGAUAACAGCUAUUGAAUGUCCCUGCAUGGCUGAUAAGAACUACAGCAUCCCAUUGGGAGAUGGGAGCCCAGAGGGAGGAGCCAAGCAUUGCUACCCAGAUAUAAUCCAGAGGUUUUGAGACACCAGCACGGCUUCUCCACUGGAUUCCCCAGAGGAACAGCAGCUGCCUCUCCUUCCACUGGAUCUUCAGAGGAAGAAUCCAUCCUUCUCUACAGGAUCCUGCUCCAGCAGAACCACCCCUGACACUGCAGGAGGGCUGAGCCACAAUUCCAAUGGGACUGCUGCCAGCACCCUGACCCACAGGGUGUCAGGCUGGGUUCUGACUCUGUCAGUGUUGGUUUAGUUUACUGCAUUGUUUAUGUUUUUAUUUUCUUUCCUAUUAAAGAACUGUUAUUCUUGCUCCCAUA